rnacentral:lncRNA from 1 species
CCCCCACUUGGACUGAACCCUAAUCUUCAGAGCAAGACUCCUUAGGAUUAGGAUAAAAAAAAAUUUAAGAUCUCAGAAGUUUGAACUGGUUUGUCCCUGACUAGGUAGAGAGUUUCCCUUGGUUGUUUCAGUGCUGAGAAUUUGACCCUGUCUGGUGCUGCACCUAUAUUUUGUAAUUAUAUACAUUCAUUGUUGUUAUAACAAUUUUCAAAAGCCACUUAUAUGGGCUUAUUUUACACAGAUAAAGUUAACCAUUGUCUUGUUUAAGCCAUGUUACUUUCAAUUACAAGCAGCCUACACGAAUUCUAACUGAUACUGAUGGAAUUGGAUUAAAUGACUUUUGGUUCCUUUCUAGUUCUGACAUAUGAGCUUAAAUAUUUUUUGAGGGUCAGUUCUAUGCCUGGUGCUAUGCUAACUGUCCACAUUUCCUUCCUAUCUGUCCACAUAUCCUUCAAAGUGAUCUUCUUUGAACUACAUGCUUGAAGCCCUGAGUUGGUUAGCAUUCAGAGACUGGGUGAUGCAGCUUGAGUGGCUGAAUUUUCUCCCUACCUUCUGACAGUCAGUGGGCUCUGAUGAUCAGUAUCUUGGUCCUGCCCAUUUUUGCUAAGAGCAUGAAAUAACUUAGUUUCUAACCUCAGUAUCCUAGUUUUGAAGUCCAGACUGAUGCUCAGAGAGUCUAUACUUCUUUUUUUUUUAAAUUUUACUUGAAGUUCCGGGAUACAUGUGCAGAACGUGCAGGUUUGUUACAUAGGUAUACAUGUGCCAUGGUGCACCUAUCAACCCAUCAUCUAGGUUUUAAGACCUGCAUGCAUUAGGUAUUUGUCCUAAUGCUCUCCCUCCCUCCCCUUGCUCCCCACCCCCUAACAGGCCCUGGUGUGUGAUGUUCCCCUCCCUGUGUCCAUUGUUCAGCUCCCACUUAUAAGUGAGAACAGGCGGUGUUUGGUUUUCUGUUCCUGUGUUAGUUUGCUGAGAAUGAUGGUUUCCAGCUUCAUCUAUGUACCUGAGCGCACCACACCUGAUGCAUCGGUAGCCUGUGACUACACUGUCAAGGUCAGCCCACUUGUAACCCCCACUUGUACCCCAACCCCUGAUCUGGGGAUUCCCCGUAUCUGUCAUUGUCACUACUCUCCCUUGGGGUCUUCCAUCUGAUCACCAAGGCUUAGUUUGAGACAUCUGGUUAGCAUCUGCUACUUACGCUUACAUUACACGUCACCAGGGACUCUACUUGCUUCACCUUCUUUGGGCAGUCCUAGGACGAAACAAUUGGGUCCAUUUGUUCAUUCAUUCAUUUUCUCAUUCCUUCUGCAGUUAGUACCUCUUAUUUAAUAUAGCCAAGGGAUCAAGAUACAGUUACCCUUGAUGAGGUCAUCAAGAUCUAUUUGCUAGAAUGCUUUAGAUAUGUUAACCUUUUAUCAGAAGGAAGAAAAUGGCAGGAGGCCACUGAAGUUCAACGGACAGAACUCUUAUUUCAGCAAAUGUGGCCAGAUUUGCUAAAGAUUGUGUUUAUCUGGGUCUAGCAUUAUCUCUUUGCAUUUCUCUCUCACACUCUCCCUGUAGUAAGAUAUCCGAAGUCAGUAUUUUCCAGAUGAUGAUGAUCCACUGGAGGAAGAUGUCCUUGUUGAUGUAUGUGUUUUAGGUUCUCCAACAAAUAAGUAUAGAGCUUUCGUUUUUCUUUAUUUAUUUUUAAAUUUUAUUUAUUUAUUUUUUGACAGGGUCUCACUCUAUCACAUAGGCUGGAAUGUAGUGGCGCGAUCACAGCUCAUUGCAGCCUUGGCCUCCCAGGCUCAGGUGAUCCUCCCACCUCAGCCUCCCAAGUAGCUCA